CCUACGGGUGGCUGCAGUGGGGAAUAUUGGACAAUGGGGGGAACCCUGAUCCAGCCAUGCCGCGUGUGUGAAGAAGGCCCUCGGGUUGUAAAGCACUUUCAGUGAGGAAGAACGCCUGGUGGUUAAUACCCAUCAGGAAAGACAUCACUCACAGAAGAAGCACCGGCUAACUCCGUGCCAGCAGCCGCGGUAAUACGGAGGGUGCGAGCGUUAAUCGGAAUUACUGGGCGUAAAGCGCGCGUAGGUGGCUUGAUAAGCCGGUUGUGAAAGCCACGGGCUCAACCUGGGAACGGCAUCCGGAACUGUCAAGCUAGAGUGCAGGAGAGGAAGGUAGAAUUCCCGGUGUAGCGGUGAAAUGCGUAGAGAUCGGGAGGAAUACCAGUGGCGAAGGCGGCCUUCUGGACUGACACUGACACUGAGGUGCGAAAGCGUGGGUAGCAAACAGGAUUAGAUACCCUGGUAGUC
rnacentral:rRNA from 1 species